rnacentral:piRNA from 1 species
UACUUGCCUCUUCAACACUGUACAUAAAUC